rnacentral:rRNA from 1 species
CUUGACCUCAAAUCGAGUAGGACUACCCGCUGAACUUAAGCAUAUCAAUAAGCGGAGGAAAAGAAACUAACAAGGAUUCCCCUAGUAACGGCGAGUGAAGAGGGAAGAGCUCAAAUUUUGAAUCUGGCGUCUUCGGCGUCCGAAUUGUAAUCUAGAGAAGUGUUUUCCGUGACGGACCGUGCAUAAGUCUCCUGGAAUGGAGUGUCAUAGAGGGUGAGAAUCCCGUAUAUGGCACGGACUCCCGUUGCUCUGCGAUACACUCUCGACGAGUCGAGUUGUUUGGGAAUGCAGCUCUAAAUGGGUGGUAAAUGCCAUCUAAAGCUAAAUAUUGGCGAGAGACCGAUAGCGAACAAGUACCGUGAGGGAAAGAUGAAAAGCACUUUGGAAAGAGAGUGAAACAGUACGUGAAAUUGUUGAAAGGGAAACGCUUGAAGUCAGUCGCGCCGUUCGGGAUUCAGCCUUGCUUCUGCUUGGUUUACUUCCCGUUGGGUGGGUCAACAUCAGUUUCGGUCGGAGGAGAAAGGCUUGGGGAAGGUGGCAGCAUUCGUGCUGUGUUAUAGCCCCUUGUUGUAUACUUCGACUGGGACUGAGGACCGCAGCACGCCUUUGGCCGGGGUUCGCCCACGUACGUGCUUAGGAUGUUGGCAUAAUGGCUUUAAGCGACCCGUCUUGAAACACGGACC